rnacentral:rRNA from 1 species
UACGUAGGGGGCAAGCGUUGUCCGGAUUUAUUGGGCGUAAAGAGCGUGUAGGCGGCCAGGUAGGUCUGCUGUGAAAACUCGAGGCUUAACCUCAAGCUGUCGGUGGAAACCACAUGGCUAGAGUCCGGAAGAGGAGAGUGGAAUUCCUGGUGUAGCGGUGAAAUGCGCAGAUAUCAGGAAGAACACCAAUGGCGAAGGCAGCUCUCUGGGACGGUACUGACACUGAGACGCGAAAGCGUGGGGAGCGAACAGG